AGAAGUUGGCUGAACGCAUCGAAGAAUAGGAAAAGAGAAAGGAAUAACAACAGAAAACGAGAAAAGCCAACAUUAAGAAAAAGAAAACUGAGAAGAAAGAACAUAAACUGAAUGAACGCCUCACACUUAACAGAGGAAAAGCUGGAAUUGUCUGAUAAGGCAACGAAAAUCCAAUUUAAACGGAAGUUAGAGGGAAUGAAGAAGAAAUUAAAAAGAAAAAGUAAGAAGAAGAGGUCCUGAAUUGCCAAACAUGCUCGAGCCACCAAGGCAGUAUCUGUGUCAUCAACCUCUGGUCUUUCAGAGUUUGUUAAAACAGAAAUUCCUCAACCAAGACUAGCAAGUACACUGGCAACACCAAUUUUUAACAGUGAAGGCUGCCUAGUUUCCAGCAAAUUUGAUUUUGGAGAACUAUCUAAUUCCUCACCCAUUCUGAAAAAGACCACUUUAUAUCCAGAAGUGGCAACGAUUAAAAUGAAAGAAAAUAAAACUUAAACCAAAAAUGAAUAUCUUGGUAGGCCAAGCUGAAGCUGAGAAUGCAAGAAGCAUUGAAUAGAAACAGGCAUGAAAUGGUGCUCUGCAAAUAGCUGAAGGUUUUCAGGUAAAAGACUAUGUGGAAUUGCUUGCCAAAUCAAUUAAUGAACGAGAUCAAAUCAGAAAGUAACAUAAAUUGCGCUGAACGAAUCGAAGAAAAGGAAAAGAGAAAGGAAUAACAACAGAAAAAGAGAAAAGCCAACAUUAAGAAAAAUAAAACUGAAAAGAAAGAACAUAAAGUGAAUAAACUAAAGAAAAAAGGCAAAUUUACCGUAUGAAAGACUGAUACUGACUCAUGGAUGAGCUAAACUCUUGUUCUUUCAUGUGCAGCCAUGUCGUGAUAGUUUUAUAGAAAAAUACACUGGCAUGCCUUCCAUGAUCGUGGAAAAUUUGAAGAAAAAAUAUCUUAGAUUCAUUUAAAAAGGUUUAGUGUCUUCACUAAUAACAGACUCUCAUUUUA